UUUGUUUUUCAGGAAAAAGAAAAAUAACACAUCAGUAUUGCAGUUACUGAACAGAUAAAUCAGUUUCAACAAAAUGGAGACACAACAGAUGAGAAAGGAAAAAACUGGAUUCACAUGCUUCAGGAAAAGGAUGAACAGGUAAAAUCAUUUAAACACACAGUAAAUGCAAGGAUGAAACUUUUCUUGUAAAUGAACUUAAAACAUUCACUAAUAACCUUGGUUUUUUCUUAAAAGCACAGAGAGGAAAGAAAAUUGAACUCUGUUCCUCAUCCAGUCUAGUUGGCCAGACCAGACUGGGAGAAGACA